rnacentral:misc_RNA from 1 species
CGGCAGACCCUGUUCUUCACGGCGACCAUGCCGCCGGAAAUCCGGCGCAUCACCGAGACUUUCCUUCACAAUCCUGAGAAGGUCGAAGUCUCCAAACCCGCCUCCACCGCGAUCACCGUGACUCAAUCGCAGGUCGGCGUGGGCCGCGAACCGCACGAAAAGCGCGAAAUGCUGCGGCAGUUGCUGCGCGACGCCAAGGACCUCAAGAACGCGAUCAUCUUCUGUAACCGCAAGCGCGACGUCGCGGUGGUUUACAAAUCCCUCCAGAAGCAUGGCUUCAGCGUCGGCGCCCUGCACGGCGACAUGGAUCAGUCGGCUCGCACAGCCUCGCUCGACCAGUUCCGCAAGGGCGAACUUCCCUUGCUGGUGGCCUCCGAUGUCG